rnacentral:rRNA from 1 species
GAUGAACGCUGGCGGCGUGCCUAAUACAUGCAAGUCGAGCGAACAGACGAGGAGCUUGCUCCUCUGACGUUAGCGGCGGACGGGUGAGUAACACGUGGAUAACCUACCUAUAAGACUGGGAUAACUUCGGGAAACCGGAGCUAAUACCGGAUAAUAUAUUGAACCGCAUGGUUCAAUAGUGAAAGACGGUUUUGCUGUCACUUAUAGAUGGAUCCGCGCCGCAUUAGCUAGUUGGUAAGGUAACGGCUUACCAAGGCAACGAUGCGUAGCCGACCUGAGAGGGGUGUCCGGCACACUGGAACCGGAACACGGGCCAAGCUCCUACGGGGAGCAACCAUAGGGAAUCUUCCGCAAUGGGCGAAAGCCUGACGGAGCAACGCCGCGUGAGUGAUGAAGGUCUUCGGAUCGUAAAACUCUGUUAUUAGGGAAGAACAAAUGUGUAAGUAACUAUGCACGUCUUGACGGUACCUAAUCAGAAAGCCACGGCUAACUACGUG